rnacentral:tRNA from 2 species
GCCUUAAAAGUUCUAAGAACAUUUGGUCUUGUAAACCAAAAAGCAAGUGUAACUCUUGUUAAGGCU